GCCCUCAUAGCUCAGUUGGUAGAGCACGUUCUUGGUAAGAACGGGGUCAUGGGUUCAAAUCCCAUUGAGGGCUCUA
rnacentral:tRNA from 1 species